rnacentral:tRNA from 1 species
GGAGAAUUACCCAAGUGGUGAAGGGGCUCCCCUGCUAAGGGAGUAGGUCGGGANACNGGCGCNAGGGUUCNAAUCCCUUGUUCUCCGCCA